rnacentral:misc_RNA from 1 species
GCAAACUUGGUCAUUUAGAGGAAGUACAAGUCGUAACAAGGUUUCCGUAGGUGAACCUGCGGAAGGAUCAUUAACAAGUCGUUGGGGUGCAAUUUUGUACUUUCAUUUGUGCUCUGGCAGUAUGCUAGAAUGCACCAUAUAUAUGUUGUAAUGUGUAUAUUAGUUGCAAUCAUAAUACAAAACAUACUUUUAACAAUGGAUCUCUUGGCUCUUGCAUCGAUGAAGAACGCAGC